GAUGAACGCUGGCGGCGUGCUUAACACAUGCAAGUCGAACGAAGCUGUUAAAAGGAAGUCUUCGGAUGGAAUUUUAACAGACUUAGUGGCGGACGGGUGAGUAACGCGUGGAUAACCUGCCUUAUACAGGGGGAUAACGGAGAGAAAUUUCCGCUAAGACCGCAUAAGACCACAGCACCGCAUGGUGCAGGGGUAAAAUAUUAAUAGGUAUAAGAUGGAUCCGCGUCCGAUUAGCUGGUUGGUGAGGUAGAGGCUCACCAAGGCAACGAUCGGUAGCCGGCCUGAGAGGGUGAACGGCCACAUUGGGACUGAGACACGGCCCAAACUCCUACGGGAGGCAGCAGUGGGGAAUAUUGGACAAUGGGGGAAACCCUGAUCCAGCGACGCCGCGUGAGUGAAGAAGUAUUUCGGUAUGUAAAGCUCUAUCAGCAGGGAAAGAAAAUGAACGGUACC
rnacentral:rRNA from 1 species